AGAUAAAUUAAUGAAAGUUUAUCAAACAUAAUCCAAUACGUCUGCUCUGAUAUGAAGUCAUAUUUCAAUGUGAUGGUUUUAUCUUUGCUUCCAGAUACAAGAGAAUUAAUUGUUGCUGGUCUACCAACCCUUACCUGGCUACCUGAAUUUAUACCUGCCGUCAUCACCCUUAGUAUAUCAGCAUCCUGACACUUGGAAUUUGAAGUUUGGAGACUCCAGUCUCUUAGAGAGACCAACAGACAUCUUCAGAUCACAGUUUCAAAGGAGAACAAAAGGUCACUGCACUAAGACACAGUUCUAGGUUUACUCAAACGCAGUUGCCGGGGAUGUUGCUGUUCAGAGGCGCUGUCCCAGAAAUGAAAUUAUUCUGAUGAUGAUUACGUGUGCAAGGGAAGAACUGAUUACACACCAAGUAGAAUUUAAAAGUUGAGGAUUUACAGGGUCCAUCAUCAAUUUCAUGUCAGCUUACUAUUGUUUUGCUUCAUAUAAUGCCGAUCAAAACCUUCCCAUAAAAUGAAAAUACAAGCUUUUUACUUUGGGAUGAAAAACUCACCGGGGCUCUUCCUGUAUAUUGAAGGAUACCAUUGUGAAUUGAAUUUUGUCCGCUAAAUGAUAUAUCGGAAAUUGGAUCUUUACUGAUGCAAUCAGGUUCAGAUGAGGCUAAUUGAAUAAAUACAACGAGGGACCUCAUAUAAUGACUGAUUGCCUUAAAGAAGAGAAAUUUGGGCAUACACAGCCACAUGGAAGGACGUAGAGACACGCCUUGAGGUGGAGAUCGCUGCGGUGAGUCUAGAA